UACGAAGGGGGCUAGCGUUGUUCGGAAUUACUGGGCGUAAAGCGCACGUAGGCGGAUAUUUAAGUCAGGGGUGAAAUCCCAGAGCUCAACUCCGGAACUGCAUUUGAUACUGCCUUGCUAGAGUACUGGAGAGGAGAUUGGAAUUUACGGUGUAGCAGUGAAAUGCGUAGAUAUCGUAAGGAAGACCAGUGGCGAAGGCGAAUCUCUGGACAGUUACUGACGCUGAGGCACGAAGGCCAGGGGAGCAAACGGG
rnacentral:rRNA from 1 species